rnacentral:rRNA from 1 species
UACGGGGGGUGCAAGCGUUAUCCGGAUUCACUGGGUUUAAAGGGUGCGUAGGUGGGCUGGUAAGUCAGUGGUGAAAUCUCCAGGCUUAACUUGGAAACUGCCAUUGAUACUAUCAGUCUUGAAUACCGUGGAGGUCAGCGGAAUAUGUCAUGUAGCGGUGAAAUGCUUAGAUAUGACAUAGAACACCAAUUGCGAAGGCAGCUGGCUACACGAAUAUUGACACUGAUGCACGAAAGCGUGGGGAUCAAACAGG